UGAGAGUUUGAUCCUGGCUCAGGAUAAACGUUGGCGGCGUGCCUUAGGCAUGCAAAUCAAGGGGCUCCGACGCAAGUCGGAGAACCGGUGGACGGGUGAGUAAUACGCAGGAAUCUGCCUGGAAGUGGGAUAUAGCUCGGCGAAAGCCGGGGUAAUCUCCCAUGUGAACGCAAGUUUAAAGCCGCAAGGCGCUUCUAGAUGAGCCUGCGUCCUAUCAGCUAGUUGGUGGGGUAAUGGCCUACCAAGGCGACGACGGGUAGCUGGACUGAGAGGUCGGUCAGCCACAAUGGGACUGCGACCAGAACUGAUCGCCUGCAUUGGUAACGAUGCAGUAAAAUCCAACUAAUAACGGUGGAGUCCAAACAAGCUACUUGACUUCGGGUAACCUUUGGGUUACGUUAGAAGUAUGUACGUUUGGGAUAAUACCGUGGGAAGUUCUAGAAGAGUUAAUCCAACGGCGCUAGCAUAUAUUGCAGGAUUUUUAGACGGUGAUGGGUGUAUUAAAGCAAGACUAGAUAAACAACCAAACAAUAAGUUUGGCUGGAGAACUAGAAUUGCAGUUAGCUUUACCCAACACACUAGAAAUCGGCAUGUAUUGGAUUGGAUAUACAGCCAGCUUAGAAAUGGUUCUAUAGCUGACUAUCCAUCUAAAAAUUUAUCAGAGUAUGUAAUUACUGAUAGUAAAUUUGUGGAGCGUUUGUUGAAGGGUUUAAAACUAUAUGUAGUGAAUAAGUUCAAACAAUUAGAUUUGGCUUUACAGCUUCUAAUUUUAAAAGAUCGUUUUAAGAAUAAAGAUUCUUUUAAUAAAGGUUUAGAAUUAGCGCUACAAAUUAGAGGUUUAAAUCAUUAUCACAAAAAACAUUUUUCUAGUAACCCCGUAACGACUGACAUGGAAGGUACCAGAUAAUCUGGGAUACUAAACUUCCAUUACAUGUUGGCUCCCCCGAUCAAAUCGGGGGAUGAAGAUAUAGUCUGAUACUCCGAGGGAUCGGAGAAAACAUUUAUGACGGCCCAUACACCUACGGGUGGCAGCAACCGGGAAUAUUCGACAAUGGACGAAAGUCUGAUCGAGCGACGCCGCGUGGAGGAUGAAGGCCCUCGGGUUGUAAACUCCUUUUAUCUGGGAAGAUUAUGACGGUACCAGAUGAAUAAGCACUUGCUAACUACGUGCCAGAAGCCUCGGUAAUGCGUAGAGUGCAAACGUUAUCCGGAUUUAUUGGGCGUAAAGAGUUGCGUAGGCUGAUCCGUGCAUUUUGUUUGAAAUGCUCUGACUUAAUCAGGGAUUUGGACAAAAUAUGGCGGAUCUUGAUGGUUGGAGAGGGUGCUGGAACCUGAGGUGUAGCAGUGAAAUGCGUUGAUAUCUCAGGGAACACCAAAGGCGUAGGCAGGCACCUAGACAACACAUGACGCUGAGGCACGAAAGCUGGGGGAGCGAAGCAGAUUAGAGACCUGCGUAGUCCCAGCCGUAAACUAUCUCUGCUAGAUAGCCGCUUUUGCGGCUGUCGCAGCUAACGCGUUAAGCAGAGCGCCUGGGGAGUACGAGCGCAAGCUUAAAACUCAAAGGAAUUGACGGGGACCCGCACAAGCAGUGGAGCGUGUUGUUUAAUUCGAUACGAAACGAAAAACCUCACCAGGGCUUGACAUGCUAGCGUUCUAUUCCCAGGAAACUGGGGAAAUGCGUAAGCAGGCUAGCACAGAUGCUGCAUGGCUGUCGUCAGCUCGUGGCGUGAGCUGUUCCAUUAAGUUGGGAAACGAGCGCAACCCUCACCGUAUGUUAAAUAAUUCAUGCGGAACAGCCCCGAUUUUUCGGGGAGGAAGGCGAGGAUGACGUCAAGUCAGCACGGUUCUUACGCCCUGGGCCACAAACACACUACAAUGGCGAAAAACAACGAGUUGCAAGCUAGCAAUAGCAAGCUAAUCUCUGAAAUUUCGCCUCAGUUCAGAUUGGGGUCUGCAACCCGACCCCAUGAAGUCGGAAUUGCUAGUAAUCGCGGAUCAGCGUGCCGCGGUGAAUACGUUCUCGGGUCUUGUACACACCGCCUAUAGUAUUUAAUAUAAUGCUAUAUAAAACGCGCAUGGCAGCGUAAAUAACUAGUUGGUUAAAAUCCAACCUAUAACUCAUAGUAGCCAAAAAAAAUUGGCAGAUCCAGUAGAGUAAUUUAUUGGUUCGGAGGGCCUGAGGCAAAGAACAGUCCUCAUUAAAAUAAGUUUUCUAAUAGAUGAUCUCGGCCGGGCGGUUUGAGAGAAAUCUAACAUUUUUGUAGAAAACUUUAGAGGAAUGUUUGGAAAAGUUAUUUAUGUGACCCAUGGAGAUCCUAAUAAGAAGGAAGUAAUUGCUUAAGAGCGUAAGCUCGCAAGCUUAGCUUAUUAGGAAGUCAGCAGAUUCAUAGUAAGUAUUGACAAGGAGUAAAAUUCAGUUUAAUCUGGAUUUGUACCGAAUAAAUACCGAAGGAAUCUACGAAAUGUUAACUGCAGACUAUAUUGUUGGUUUAACUGAUGGAGAAGGUUGUUUUCUGGUUCAAAUCAGAACUGAUUGUCGGAUAGUUCUCCGAUAUUUCAUAACACAACGUUUUGAUAAUAAAGAACUUUUAGAUAAAGUUUUUGAAUUUUUCAAAAUAGGUUAUGUAUAUCGGAAAUUUCAGGGCAACGACAAAAAGAAAAUGACUUUUGUCUAUGAAGUAACCAAGCAGGAUGAUAUCCAAAAUGUGAUUGUUCCUUUUUUCAAGAAACAUCUACUAGAGGGUGUCAAACAAAAAUCUUUUGAAAGAUUUGCCCGUAUUGCUGAGAUUGUUAGAAAUCGUCAGGAUAUACGCAAGUUAACAAAAGAAGAAUUAGAAGACGUUUGGCAGUUAAAGCUCACUAUGAAUACACUUCAUAAUGAGUUAAGAAGAAACAUUUCGGCUCGCUUAGUGCCGGAAAUCGGCUCGCUAAGUGGGAACGGAAAGCAGCUUUAAGCUAUUCCAAUCCGUCAAGGCAGCAAAGUCAGGGGCACCCGAACUCCGAUGUACUUCGGAGGAAGGUGAAACUGGCGAUGAAGCUUAAGUCGUAACAAGGUAUCCCUAGCCGAAGCUGGGGAUGGAUCACCUCCUU
rnacentral:rRNA from 1 species